UACGGGGGGGGCAAGCGUUGUUCGGAAUUACUGGGCGUAAAGGGCGCGUAGGCGGUUGGAUAAGUCAGCUGUGAAAACCACGGGCUUAACUCGUGGCCUGCAGUUGAGACUGUCUGGCUCGAGUGUGGGAGAGGAGAGUGGAAUUCCUGGUGUAGCGGUGAAAUGCGUAGAUAUCAGGAGGAACACCGGUGGCGAAGGCGGCUCUCUGGACCACAACUGACGCUGAGGCGCGAAAGCUAGGGGAGCAAACAGG
rnacentral:rRNA from 1 species